rnacentral:rRNA from 1 species
UACGUAGGGGCGAGCGUUGUCCGAAGUUACUGGGCGUAAAGAGCGCGUAGGCGGGUCUUUAAGUGAGUGGUGAAAGGUUCGGGCUCAACCCGGACACUGCCUUUCAUACUGGGGACCUUGAGUGCGGGAGGGGCGAGUGGAAUGGUCGGCGUAGCGGUGAAAUGCGUAGAUAUCGAUCGGAACACCCAUGGCGAAGGCAGCUCGCUGGCCUGCAACUGACGCUGAGGCGCGAAAGCGUGGGGAGCAAACAGG